rnacentral:rRNA from 1 species
UUAAAGGAAUUGACGGGACCGCACAAGCGGUGGAUGAUGUGGUUAAUUCGAUGCAACGCGAAAACCUUACCCACCUUUGACAUGGCAGGAAUCCUGAAGAGAUUUGGGAGUGCUCGAAAGAGAACCUGCACACAGGUGCUGCAUGGCUGUCGUCAGCUCGUGUCGUGAGAUGUUGGGUUAAGUCCCGCAACGAGCGCAACCCUUGCCAUUAGUUGCUACGAAAGGGCACUCUAAUGGGACUGCCGGUGACAAACCGGAGGAAGGUGGGGAUGACGUCAAGUCCUCAUGGCCCUUAUAGGUGGGGCUACACACGUCAUACAAUGGCUGGUACAAAGGGUUGCCAACCCGCGAGGGGGAGCCAAUCCCAAAAAGCCGACCUCAGUUCGGAUUGUAGUCUGCAACUCGACUACAUGAAGGUGGAAUCGCUAGUAAUCGCGGAUCAGCAUGCCGCGGUCGAAUACGUUCCCGGGCCUU